rnacentral:rRNA from 1 species
GGGAAAGUUGCAAAGCACUUUGAAGGGAGAGUUAAGGAGGACGUGAAACCGGUGAGGUGGAAACGGAUAGAGUCGGCGUAUCUUGCAAGUAUUCAUUUACAUUUAGUUGUAUUUUUUAGCUUUGAGCUCCAGAUUGGGACAGAGUUGAAUUAUAUGAUUAUUUGUGAUGCAUUUACUUGCUUGGUGCGUGGGGAUUUCUGAGACAGAUUUGUGCCCUACGUUUUGAGGCCAGCUUGCUGGUACCCGAAUUUGGUUAGCAAUUUUUGUUUUAGUUGUAAAAAAAGUAUGGCUUACGGACUUUAUAUGGAUUGAUUUGGUUGUAAGUUACGGUCGCAUGCGACACGUGCUUUUCAAUCUUUUCGGUCUGUGUAAUGUUCUCAUACUUAUUCCCCAUGUAAAAGCCGGUCAUCUAUCCGACCCGUCUUGAAACACGGACCAAGGAGUUUAUCGUGUGCGCAAGUUUUUGGGUGUUUAAAACCUAAAGGCGAAAUGAAAGUAAAUGACUCUUCGAGUCUGAUGUGCGACCUUUU